UUUUAAAAAUUAUGGUGUUAAAUUGUGGCUUUUGUGCAUUGUCUCUCUUCUCUCUGUCCAAUUGCUCUCUCUCUCCGUUACUCCAGGUUCCUGCUCAUAAUUGACUGGAGAAGUGGAGUGACUGGCUCAUUUAAAAGUCGCAACCGUACAAGACUGAGAGAGCACAGCUGUGUGUGUUGAGAGGACGCAGAGUGUGAUCCAACAAAAUACGGUGUUAUUUUGGGAGCUGUCCAUGAGCCCGGGCACUGGAUAUUGGCAGUAAUCUUUCCUUCUGAGAAAAGGAGCCUCGUACUGGACCCCCUGGGAAAUGAUUCUGCCAACACUGAAUUAAUAAAUG